rnacentral:rRNA from 1 species
AGUGGCGGACGGGUGAGUAACGCGUGAGAAUCUGGCUUAAGGACGGGGAUAACCACUGGAAACGGUGGCUAAGAUCCGAUAUGCCGAGAGGUGAAACUAAAUUAGCCUUGAGGGGAGCUCGCGUCUGAUUAGCUAGUUGGUGGGGUAAGAGCCUACCAAGGCGACGAUCAGUAGCUGGUCUGAGAGGAUGAUCAGCCACACUGGGACUGAGACACGGCCCAGACUCCUACGGGAGGCAGCAGUGGGGAAUUUUCCGCAAUGGGCGAAAGCCUGACGGAGCAAUACCGCGUGGGGGAGGAAGGCUCUUGGGUUGUAAACUCCUUUUCUCAGGGAAGAACAAAAUGACGGUACCUGAGGAAUCAGCAUCGGCUAACUCCGUGCCAGCAGCCGCGGUAAUACGGAGGAUGCAAGCGUUAUCCGGAAUCAUUGGGCGUAAAGCGUCCGUAGGUGGCAUUUCAAGUCUGCUGUCAAAGGUCGGGGCUUAACUCCGAACAGGCAGUGGAAACUGAGAAGCUAGAGUGCGGUAGGGGCAGAGGGAAUUCCUGGUGUAGCGGUGAAAUGCGUAGAGAUCAGGAAGAACACCGGUGGCGAAAGCGCUCUGCUAGGCCGCAACUGAUACUCAGGGACGAAAGCUAGGGGAGCGAAUGGGAUUAGAUACCCCAGUAGUCCUAGCUGUAAACGAUGGAUACUAGGCGUUG